rnacentral:rRNA from 1 species
AUGUUUGCUGCCUUACUAAGAUCUUCUUCCUCGAGGAUCCUCCUCAAUGGGGUACCAUCCAAGCCUAUCAAGAAUGGGAAGGGUCUUCGGCAGGGGGACCCAGUAUCACCCCUCCUCUUCGUGAUUGCGAUUGACCCACUCCAGAAUAUCCUCGACCUUGCCACGCAGCGUGGGGAGCUUCACCAGGUUGGUGGCAGGGGCGCGUGCUUUCGCACCUCGUUGUUUGCUGACGACGUGGCUAUCUUUGUGGCUCCUGUUAAGGAGGAUGUCCAGCGCCUCACUGAUAUUCUAGCCGGCUUUGGUGAAGUCACGGGGCUUGUUACCAACCUUGACAAAAGCAUUGUCGCCCCAAUAAGAUGUGCCGAGAUUGAUCUUGAUGACGUCCUAUAG